UACGUAGGGUGCAAGCGUUAAUCGGAAUUACUGGGCGUAAAGCGUGCGCAGGCGGUUCGCUAAGACCGAUGUGAAAUCCCCGGGCUUAACCUGGGAACUGCAUUGGUGACUGGCGGGCUAGAGUAUGGCAGGAGGGGGGUAGAAUUCCACGUGUAGCAGUGAAAUGCGUAGAGAUGUGGAGGAAUACCGAUGGCGAAGGCAGCCCCCUGGGCCAAUACUGACGCUCAUGCACGAAAGCGUGGGGAGCAAACAGG
rnacentral:rRNA from 1 species